GGUGGGGGGGGGUAUUCUGAGAGUGUUUGCUGAUGUAAAAGCAUUUCAGUGGCCAACAGGAGAAAAACAAAGGGCCGAUGAGCAAGACGGUGAUUCAAAAUACAACGAAAAGACGUCCCGUGACUCGUGCCCCUCACGAGACGAUCCCCUACGGUCUCCGUCUACUUCCUGAAAGGGACAAGGUCCCAAACUCCUGUUGCAUGUUGACUUGUUUCUGGGAGGAAGAAGGACCAGCCGUGUCUGUCGCGGGGAAUCGAAUUGGAACGUUCCGUGGUCGAUAUAUUGUGGACCGGUUCGUGGGCCGAGCCGGCGCUACGGAGCUUUGAACCAAUCACAGCUCAGUCUCGCGUUCAACACGUUGGAUAAGUAGAAACAGUUCUCGGCUGAGCGUAUUUAGUCCGACUCGAUCACCCGUGAUAAUAAACGUGAAGCGUCUUUCCAGCUUGUGUGAGAAUAACCUUCAGAGGAACCUGCUCACAACACACACACACACACACACACACACACACACACACACACAUAUGGCCUAACAAAGGAAAUGAUGCUGGAGGAAAUGAUCGCUCCUUAAUAAAUGCAUUUAUGUAAAACCUGCAUGAGGCUGCUUCACUAUAUUUUCCUCACAGUUGACGGUACCAAGGUUACCUCUGCACGCACGCACACACACACACACACACACGCACUCACACACACACACACACACACACUCACAGCCGUUCUAAACACUGAAGCCACACAACACAAAUGGAUGAAGAAGGAAGCGAACUGGUUACAGAUGGAUUCCUUCGAGCCGCCUUGAGGCUUCUGGGCGUGAACGCGGCGUUUUGCGUCUUCACUCGUUAAGAAAACACAUUUCGCCGCAUGUUGUUUUUUCCGUUUCUCAUGAAUCACCACAACACGUUCGCGAGCCAAUUAGGGCGGGCGCCCUGGUCGGGGGUUGGCAUGGAAACGGCACACGACGGGCCAAGGUGCCGGUAGGGGGCCCGGAUGCGGCGGGCCAUUGGAACGUGGAUAAACAACAAACAAACAACAACAAAAACAUAAACACAGUGGAAAAGCAUAUGGCAGCCCUGUCGGGGCGGAGGGGGCGGAGGGGGCGGGGGGGGCGGGACACCUGACGCAGCACACAAGUUGGUUUUAGCUUUAAAUACACAGUUUUUAAGCUAAAGUGUUUCUUAUUGUUGCCGUGUUUUAGAUAAAGUAUUCAUAGAUUUCAUGUAGCAGCUUUUCAUGAGACAUUUAUUUGUUUAUUUGUUUGUCGUCAGAUUACUGGCGAGCAGAACUUAACUUCCUGUUGAGCAAGUUUGGCCAUAAACGAAGUAUAUUUAUGAUAAGAUCUAUUUUUAGAUUGACUUCUCUUAUAAAUAUAGAUAUUUAUCUGUUGGUGUUUCACUUCCUGCGGUUGUAAUGCGACAUUGUGUCGAUCUAAAGUGUCUUCUAAUGUUAUUAAUGUUACAUUGAACACGAUGCCGAUCGUCCAAUGAGAACAAACGCAAAAAGGCUUUCUUCUUAUUCCUGAAACGUGUCGUAUCGAAUUAGUGUGAAACAUGUUUCUAAAAGAGAUGAAGAGGACAUUUAAAAAGAAGCCGUCUGUAUAAAAGCUUUUAACCUCAUCAGUCAAUGAAUGGACUCGUGUCACAAGCAGCUCCUGAUGCUGCUCUGGCUUUACGUCGUCAUUUGGAAUUCACCUGCAAUGUGUUUUAUUGACUGAGAUUCGUCCAAGACGAGAAGAGACACCUUCAUCUUCUCAGAGGCUCACGGACACGUUCACAAGAGCACAUUUAACAUCUCCUCAAACUUGCUUUGGUUUGUUUAAAUUCUUAACCUACCAAAUGUUAUUUUUAUUCUUAUCCUUCUCAUUUGCAUCAUGAUCAUUAUGCUGCUGCGCUGGUUUUUACCAUGGAUCUGGUGCACUGUCCACUUGGCUGCUGCGAUCCAGUGAAUUUCCCCACUGUGGGACUAAUAAAGGAACAUCUUAUCUUAUCUUACAUUCACUUUUGAUUGGUUUGGUUUCAGCUGUCAGCUUCUUCUUUUAAACUUUUUAAAGCUGCCACCGCAAUUGGGGACAGAUUUAAAAAUCCACUGGUGACAAAACAUCCAUCGAAGUCAAAACUUCCAUCUCAAACAUCUGAUUCUGCUGUAAAAAGGAGGAUUCGCAGGUUCUUAAUAAUUCAGGACGAGUCAGACCCGUCAGACUGAGGUUGCCUGGCAACGGCGUCCCGCCAGGAGAGAGUGUGACGUAUGAAUUCAGCUUCAAACGGGCCGCUGGUUGAUUGUGUGACGGCUGGAUGAAGCCCAGCGGGCCGUUUCUGCCUGUUUCCAGAGACCAGCUUCAGCUUCCCCGACUUCAGGCACAACGAUCGACUCUGCAGCGGAACGUCACAAGCAGCGCAUUUAAAACCCCGAUCGUUGCGUCUGUCUGCGAGGACACACACACGUUAGGAGCUUCAGAUCCCUUCACUGGGUGACAUCUGGAAGUUGGGUCUCUUGUUUCGGCUUGCCGCUGCCUGAAAGCGGCCUCGCGUUUCUGUCGACCCUCAUGUGGUAACCGGGCAGAUAUUAAGGCCACAGUCAGUGCAGCAUACGUUGGCUUUACAAGCAUGUCGCUUUCCCCCUGUAGAUAUUAAAUGAGCUGUAUAGACAUUGUUGUUUCUCUGUGUUUACGAUACGAGCCAGAUGAAAAACAUGUGUAUGUGAGAACCAUCACGCUGCCUUUGUGAUUUCAUUUAGUGCCGUUGUGUCAAUAACCAUUAUAUAAAGCUAAUGCACCACAAAGCCAGCCGUUUGCUGUGAUUGCAGUCUGAAGGGGGGGGGGUCCAUUGCUGCCAAAAGCUGUUAUUUGCCACACUGGUUUUACCCAUAAACAUGUAAAAAGCGUCUCUCGCUGGGGGAACAUUGUUAACCGCC
ensembl:lncRNA